GAUGAACGCUGACAGAAUGCUUAACACAUGCAAGUCGAUGGGGAAGUGGUGCUUGCCCCAUGGCAACCAUGGCGGACGGGUGAGUAACGCGUAAGGGACUUACCUGCAGGACUGGGAUAACAGGGGGAAACUCCUGACAAGACCGGAUAAUGUCAUGGAGCUGCAUGGCUUUAUGAUGAAAGGAGACGCCUGCGGAGAGCCUUGCGUCCUAUUAGCUAGUUGGUGAGGUAAUGGCUCACCAAGGCGAAGAUAGGUAGCCGGCCUGAGAGGGUGGACGGCCACAAGGGGACUGAGAUACGGCCCUUACUCCUACGGGAGGCAGCAGGGGGGAAUAUUGGACAAUGGGGGCAACCCUGAUCCAGCAAUUCUGUGUGCACGAAGAAGGUUUUCGGAUUGUAAAGUGCUUUCAGCAGGGAAGAAGUAAGUGACGGUACCUGCAGAAGAAGCGACGGCUAAAUACGUG
rnacentral:rRNA from 1 species